CCUCUGCAGGACAAGUGCAGCUGAGGCCCCUGCACGGCCCCACCUGGCACACGGGACAUCCCCAUGGCUGGGACUCAGCAGCAUGGACCCGACCUGGGCCCCAGCCUGGUCAGGGCCUGUGACCAUACCCCAUCUCUUCCCCAGGAGCUUGGGAGUGGCUGAACACAGGAAGGGGCCAGUGUCCAACUGUCACUCACACCACAAAGACCACGGCACAUUCACGGCUUCCCGGACAAGGUCACACCCUGGGGAUGGGCCUGUCCAGAGCAACCACAGUGAGAGGCGGAGGUGCCUACUGGGGGCCCACCUGGGAGCUGGGAAGAGCUGCCCCUGGGGGGCCUGUUCCCCCGCACAGCUGUGCCACAAGGAGGUCUGAGAGCCUGAGGGGGCAGUGGGCAGAGGGGGCUGCCGGCCCUGCAGGCCAUGUGGAGACCUGAGCAGACACCAGGAAGCCUGGCAGGCUGGGCAGGACAUGCAGACCUUCAAGACCAGGGGACCCUUGAGGCCAGGAGACCUGAGGCCAACAGAGCACUAGGCCAGCAAACCACUGAGACCAGGAACCCAAGAGACCAGCAGGCCACUGAGACCAGGAGGCCACUGAGACCAGGAGGCCACUGAGACCAGGAGGCCAUUGAGACCAGUAGACCACCAAGAUCAGCAGGCUACCAAGACCAGGAGACCAACAGAUUAGCAGACCACUGAGACCAGGAGACCACUGAGGCCCGCAGACCCUGAGGCCCAACCAUGUGGCCCACCUUGUCACUGAAGUGUGCUGUCUACAUUCAACAGUGUUUGGGCACCGUUGUGAGCCCAAGGGCCAACAGGGGCCCUGCGGGUGCUGGGCAGGAGCUGACCAGAACCAGAGACAAGCGCUCAGAAGCAGAGGCUGGUGAGCCCUCCAGGGGUGCUCCUGCGGCUCUCAGCGCAGGGCACCGCUGCUCAUCACAGCCGAAGCCACCCGCCUGUGUUCCCGCGUGCUGCCCUCGGGGACGCCAACUGCCCCGACGCAGCACAGGCUCCCGCUGCUGGAGACUGUUCUGGACGAGCCGGAGCCACCUCAGCCGGAGGAGGAGGGGACGGGCUGGGCAGAGUGCGAGAGUGGGAGGCCCUGGUCUGGGAGGGCUGGGAUACAGCUGGGUCGCAGCUGCAGCCGUCUGCUGGCCCCUUGAGGCUCCGCCCUGAAGGUCCUAGAGGGUCCCCAUCAUCCUGCCUGGCCUUGAAGGACAGCUCAGCCUAGUCUGGGCGGGACCACCUGUGGUCACCUUGGCCACCAGGCCCGGGUGGUCCCUGGGGAUGCCUGAACCCACCGGGGCCAACGCGGGAGGAGAGUGGCCCGUGGGGAGCAUGGGCAGGGCCCAGGGGAGGCUCUGCUGCAGGCCAGCAAGGGGCCAGCAUGGCACGAGCAGCUGGGCCACCCUGAGGAUGGGAAGGGGAAGGGGUGGGGGCUCAGGACACGGGGCCUGGCUCCGCAGGUCUAGAAGGGGAGGGCCUGCUGCCCAUCUGAGACUGACCCUGGAGCAGGGACGGCCCAGGGCCCAGGACGUGCCCUCUGCCCCAUCCUGUCAGGGCAGGGGUGUCCUCUCUCCAGGUCUGCACUCAGAGACAGCACCGCCCACAGGCCUCACUGCUGGCCUGGCUGCUCCUCUUGUCCACCUCUAAAAGGGACAGUGCCAAGACCAGGCCACCUCCUCAUUGCCCAGGAUGGUCCACCCUGUCAUUACACAUCCCAGGACAGUCCACUCUGCCCCUCAGUCCCCAGGACACUCCAUCCUGGGCCCCUGCCCUACCUCGCCCACUCCUUGAGGUCCCUGAGGGACAAUGAGUGUCCUUCUCGAAGAGUCACCACAGCUGUGACCCGCUGGCCCCAUGUCACAUCUGGAAUCCCAAUCACGGCCACAUCUAGAACAGAAGGUCAGGCUGGGACACCUGGGAAGUCCCCAGUGACCGCGCGGGUCAAGCAGCAGUAGGGCCUCGCAGAGAAGGUGGACAGCAGCCCAGCCACGUCCAGGCUCUGGAAAGCCCUACUGGCUCCCCUCGGGUGUGAGGAUGGCUCCCCGUGGUGUCUCCGGGGUCUGCCUCCCCAUACUGUCCUGCAGACCGGGUGUGCGCCUCGUCACCUGGAAGCCAAACUGGGGUUCGGGGGGCAGUAGCUCAGGCCGGGCCCCAGCUGCCACGAGCAGGGAAAGGUCCCGAGCAGCUGGCAAGUGCUCACCUGCGAUGCUGGGGUGGGCCAGCAGGUGCCGCUCCACCUCCAGGGCGCUGACUUUGUAGCCUCCGGUCUUGAUGAUGUCCACUGAGGUCCGGCCUCGGAUCCAGUACUUGCCAUCCUUGAACACAGCAGUGUCCCCUGAAAAAGUGGGCUCUGUGACAUCCCCAGGGCAACCUGGGUGCGCCUAGUCCCCAGCAGAAAACCCUGGGGCGCCUGUGGUCACCUUGGCCACCAGCCCCUGGCACCCAUCACUCACAUCUCUCCACUGUCCUGCCCUGUGCCUGGGGGACCGGGACAUGGCCUCCACAGGGUCAAGCCAGUGCCCACAACAUGCCUGGAGCCAGUGGGAUCAGGCCUGUGACACCCUGCGCUGCAGGCUGCACGUGGGCCUGUCCCUGCCACUGCCAUCAGUGGUGACUGGCCACUGUUAGUGAGGGGCCUUUCUGCACAGGGCAGCACACCAGCUGGGCAGCUGACCCUGAGCAGGAGGCGUGAGGGACAGCCCUGACACUGACCCAGCCUUGUGCAGACAGACGAGAGCUGUGGAGCCGGCAGAGCCUGGCUAACCCACGUCGCCCUUCUGGCCUGUUGUGGGCCCCUGAGGACAUCCCCGCCUGGGCUGGGCGUGAACAGGCACAUCCCAGACCUGCAGGGUCACUGCCACGCUUCCCUGAUGAGAGGGGUCCUCCUGCCCUCGCCCCUGACCUCUGCCACCUGAAACAGCCAGCCACUCACUUGUUCCUCCCCAGGAUCCCAUGACCACUGAGAUCUGGAUGCUCAGCCACAGGGCAGCGGGCGGGUGCAGGGCCAGUGGAAGGCUGCGCCCUGCCCAGGCGGCUUCCUGGGUCGGGGACGCUGCGUUUCUGCAGAUGCAUGUUGCCCCCAGUCUGCACAGGCUCCCCUCCCCGGGGCCAUGAAUGUCUCACAGCACGUCACUGCUGACCCCCGGUACCAUCCACCUCCUGCCAAGUUUGUGACCUGCAGCUUGGGGCGUGCUCCCAUCUACCAAGCAAGAUGGACAGGUGCCAGAGGGGCUCCAGGCUUGUUCAUGGAGGAGGUGGGCCUGGAGGCCUCCAGUGCAGUGGCUCUGCACUGAGGGAGACAUAGGAGCUGUGGGUGGCCUCCCGCUUGUCCCGGGACAGCCUGCCUGUGGGCACUGGCCAGCAGGACAGGACGCGGGGUGGGCUGACGGGAUGGUGGACACACCCUGUCCUGGCUUGUUCCUGCCUCCAGCUCCACUGUAGCCUGGCUUCAGCCAUGUCCCCAGGACCAGGCGGCCUCCCUGGUGACUGAACCCAAGGGUGCUCUGCCACCAGGCCACACCCGCCCCUUUUCUUUUUUGGGGCGUUACUGGGGAUUCAACCCGGGGGCAAUCUGCCACUGAGCUACAUCUCCAGCCCUUCUUAUUUUUUCUGAGACGAGGCCGUGUUCAGUUGUCGAGGAUGGCCUUGAAUUUGCGAUGCUCCUGCCUCAGCCGUGGCCACUCGCUGGUCGAUGGCUUCCCUGAGCACAUCACUGCCCCAGUGCUGGCUCUCCUGCCCCAGGGCUGCAUGCUCAGCUGCUCACUGUCCAAGGGAGGUGCUGCCUGGCACUGGGGUCCCUGCAGGUGUCUGACCCGGCUCCCCUGGGCCUCUAGGCACCCAGAUGCCAGUGUGGGGGCUGCGCGGGGGAGCCAUUGUCCUGCCCUGGACUUGGCCUCCCCAGAUGUUCCUGCCUGCCCCGAGGCCCCUCCUACACCCUCCCCGUGAGGUCCUGACUCUCCUGGUGUCCUCUGUUGGGACGGCCUGGCCCCAGCUGAGCCCUGGGGGUAAAGACAGUCUGGCACACACAGGCUGUGAGGGGCUCUGGGCGGCACCAGCUAUUGGUGGGCACACGCCUUCCCUCUGCCCUCUGGGGGUGCCCCACACUGCCAGCGCCUGAGAUUCCGCCUCUCACUUCUGAGACCAGGCACGCGGAGGUUUGGGGAUGGGCAGGUGGAUAUCCCCAGGGAGGAAAUGCCUUGGAAUCAGGGAGGGGAGGCCCUGUGUGGGUAAGGACCAGGACAACACUCACACAGAGGGACAGCGGGGGCGGCAGCACAGGACAGGGAUGAGGGCGGGCGCAGGUGACGUAAUAAAGGAAUUGGGGACGCUCAGGAGCAAGGAGUCAGGCAUCAGCCUCAAAGGCUCCGAAAACCCAGAAUUCAGAAGCUGAGGGAGAAGGCAGCCUGAUGGCAGGGCUGAGCCUGUGGGUUUUCCUGGACCUGCCCUGCAGCGCUGGCCAGGAGCCAGAGGAGGGCCAUGCGGGCCAGAUGCAGCCUGGCAUUCAUGCAGCCUGGACACUGCGGUGCUACCGAGCAGGGCCCUGGGACGCGCACUGUGCGACGUGCGGCCAGGCCAGGCCAGGCCAGGAGUGGGGUGGCAGCUCUGCCUGGAGCUGGGGAGCAGCAGGAAGCCCAGUGACUGGGUUAGACCCUCUACUGACCUCUCAGGCACCUGCGAGGUCUUCUGCCCUGCCAUGGGUCAUGCUGGGCCUUCUGCAGACCUGUCCCCAGUGUGUACGCCCUGAGGUCACAGGGUCACAGCUUCCCAUGGCUGGCAAGACACUAUGUGUAACCUGCCCCAUGCCUCUAGCUGCCCAAGCAUGUGCCUGGCCUCCACUGACCCUCCACUGACCCCGGCUGGAGACUCAGCUAUCCUCUGUGGCUGGUGACCUGCCCUGGUGACCAUGCAGGGCAAGCAAGUGCUGGACUCUAACCACGGCUCAGGCUGGCAACCCUCUGCAACCCUCACCCACACGGCUGCAGCCUCAGGUGACAGCUGGACUUCCCAGUUCUGCUGAACGGCCAGGUCACUGUGGGGUCAGAUGUGGAGCUGGGGCCUGGCCUGGGUCUCCUGAGUAGGGCUCAGGCUUUCUGGAGCAAUUCCUUGGCUGUGGGCAGGGGCAGGGUCUCAGAAGAGGUGGCUGCUGGGCUCUUUCCAGGCUACCUGCCCCCGGCUUCCCAGUGCUGAGGUGUCCGCACCGAGUGCAGCAAAGGUGCGCAUGCAAGGGUCAGGGCUUGGGGACGGGGUGGCCUGCAGUGACAGGUAGCACACAUCUCUGCCGUGGUCAGAGGGUGCUUGGGCUGGAGGUGUGGCCUGGACCUGUGCUGGUGCCCAUACCUGGGCCCUCUGCUCUUGCGUGACAGCUCUGUGGGGUGGCACGCCCCCUGGAAGGGCGCAGCAGCUGCUUACAUAGCCAGACAGGUGCAGGACCAGGCUUCCUGUUGCCCACUGAAGAAACCCCAUGUCCUCUGGGCCAGCAGGCCGGGGCUCCACCUGGGUCCAUGCUGCCCACAGAGGUCACGCUCCUUUCUGCCCAGCACACGUGGAGCCUUGGCCCAGAUGCCCGCUCCUGUGGCCCUGGCUGGGUCUCGGGAAGCCUGGGGCCACCGUCUGUCUGCAUGGACUCCCCUGUGGUCUCCUCCCAGCCCGAGCUUCUCCGGGGGAACUUCCCAUGCAGAGCCCCCACCUGCUGACAGGACAGGUGCCAAGCAGAAUCUCACUCCCAGCCCAGGUCUUGGUGGGUCCAAUGGUGCUGGCCAUGACCUCCACAGGUCUGCACUCACCAUGGCUCUGGGCAAGAGCACAGGGUGAAGGUCCACAGCACAGCUGCAGACUGACACAGGCCAGGGCAGCAGUGGCCUAGCAGCCAGCCACACGCUGCAGGGUGAAAACGCAGGGGGACCUGCACGUGGUGCCCACAAGCCUCCAUGUGCCGCCACUCAGCUCGGUGCUGGGGGUCAGGGCUGCUCUCUGCAAGAGCAGACGCCCCCAUCCUCUCCCUGAGCAGGCCCUGCCCCACCACCCCUCACGCACCCCUGUAACUAUGCUGGGACCUGGGACACUCCCUGUCCACUCCCUACCCUGGCUGGCUACACAGGAGAGGAUUCAUGGUUUUAAGAUCCCGCCCACCCUGCUGCAGCGACACUGGCAGGGACGCUCUCUCCUGAGCCCAGGUCACUCUUGAAUGAGCCCCAGAACGAGCUGCCAUUUGCCCACGGCACCAGCCAGGCAGAAGCCUCUACAGGCUCCCGGCUCCUGGGCUCACCCUGCCUGGCGACAGGCUGCGUCACUAACGGCCUGUGACAAAGGCGUGCACCCCCAGGCCUCACCCCCAGAGCCAGUGGCCCCUGCGCUCCCUUGCUGUCUGGUGUACCCCAAGUGAAACCGAGCUGAGCGUGAGGUCACCUUCUCCAGGACACCGCUCCAACGGCCAACCUGUGCUGCUCCUCUCAUGCCGCCAGGGCACUGGCCUCCUCUCAGCCAGACGCCCCACACGUCACCCAGAGGCGCUGGGCCCUCCUCUCAGCUGGACACCCUGUGCAUGUCACCCAGAGGUGACACGGGUGUCCCGACCUUGGCAAAACCUACACUGUUGGGUUCCUAUGCUUUUAAGUGGGGAGAAAAGAACAAACCAACAGCUUUUGUCUUCAUUUUAAA